rnacentral:tRNA from 1 species
GGGGAGGUAGCUCAAGUGGUAGAGCACAUGCUUAGCAUGCACGAGGUCCUGGGUUCGAUCCCUAUUAUCUCCU